AUUGAACGCUGGCGGCAUGCCUUACACAUGCAAGUCGAACGGCAGCACGGGAGCAAUCCUGGUGGCGAGUGGCGAACGGGUGAGUAAUAUAUCGGAACGUGCCCGGUCGUGGGGGAUAACGUAGCGAAAGCUACGCUAAUACCGCAUACGAUCUACGGAUGAAAGCGGGGGAUCGCAAGACCUCGCGCGAUUGGAGCGGCCGAUAUCAGAUUAGGUAGUUGGUGAGGUAAAGGCUCACCAAGCCGACGAUCUGUAGCUGGUCUGAGAGGACGACCAGCCACACUGGGACUGAGACACGGCCCAGACUCCUACGGGAGGCAGCAGUGGGGAAUUUUGGACAAUGGGCGCAAGUCUGAUCCAGCAAUGCCGCGUGCAGGAUGAAGGCCUUCGGUUGGUUAAAC
rnacentral:rRNA from 1 species